rnacentral:rRNA from 1 species
GGAGAGUUUGAUCAUGGCUCAGAACUAACGCUUGUGGUGUGUCUUAGUCAUGCAAGUCGAACGAGAAAGUCACCUUCGGGUGACGAGUACAGUGGCGAACGGGUGAGCAACACGUGGGCAACCUGCCCCUGGGUUGGGGAUAACACUUCCAACGAAGUGCUAAUACCGAAUGACAAGGCGAGUUGAUGACUCGUUUUUAAAGGUGGCCUCUACUUGUAAGCUGCCGCCUAGGGAUGGGCCCGCGUCGUAUUAGCUUGUUGGUAGGGUAAUGGCCUACCAAGGCGACGAUGCGUAGCCGGCCUGAGAGGGUGAACGGCCACACUGGCACUGAGAUAAGGGCCAGUCUCCUACGGGAGCCAGUAGUCUAGAAAUUUGCACAAUCGCCGAAAGGCGGAUGCAGCGACACCACGUGGAGGAUGAAGCCCCUCGGGGUGUAAACUCCUGUCAGAAGGGAAGAAGGCGCGGGCGUUAAUACCGCUCGUUGCUUGACGGUACCUUCAGAGGAAGGUCCCGCUAACUACGUGCCAGCAGCCGCGGUAAUACGUAGGGACCGCGCGUUGUUGCCAUUACCCCGGCGUCAAGGUCAUGUAGGGGGGUACCCUCGUCGAGUGCGAAAUCCUUUCACUCAGCCGGAUAGUAGCAGCUGUUAGCCCCCGUUUCCAGUCCAGCAGAGGGAAUCAAGGUCCCAGGUGUAGCGUGGAAUCACCCGAUAUCCGGGGGAACAUCCCCGGAGAAGGCGGAUUCCUUGGACGGUCAUGACUUAGGCGUGCGAACAGUAAGGGAUCGAACCCGAUAUCAUACUCUGC